GAAAUUCCUUCUCCUAGCUCAUCCUGGCUCAAAAGCUCCCCCACUGAGCACCUUGUGACCCCCGCCCCUGCCUACCAGAGAACAACCUCCUUUGACUGUAAUUUCCCACUACCUACCCAAAUCCUAUAAAACGGCCCCACCCCUAUCUCCCUUUGCUGACUCUCCUUUCGGACUCAGCCCACCUGCACCCAGGUGAAAUAAGCAGCCUUGUUGCUCACACAAAACCUGUUUGGUGGUCUCUUCACAGCAACGCGAAUGAAAUUUGGUGCCAUCACUCGGAUCAGGGGACCUCCCUUGGGAGAUCAAUCCCCUGUCCUCCUGCUCUUUGCUCCAUGAGAAAGAUCCACCUACGAUCUCUGCUCCUCAGACCAACCAGCCCAAGGAACAUCUCACCAAUUUUAAAUCGGGUAAGCGGCCCCUCUUUACUCUCUUCUCCAACCUCUCUCACUAUCCCUCAACCUCUUUCUCCUUUCAAUCUUGGUGUGGCAGCCACUCUCAGAGCCCCUGGAACUCUGGCUCAAGGCUCUCUUACUCCUUCCCAGAUCUUCUCAGCUUAGCGGCUGAAGACUGAUGCUGCCAGAUGACUUUGGAAGCCCCCUGGACCAUCACAGAUGCCCAGCUUUGGAUAACUCUUACAGUGGAGGAAGACAGGAAUAUCAGGUCUCUGAGCCCAAGCUAAGCCAUCAUAUCCCCUGUGACCUGCAUGUAUGCAUCCAGAUGGCCUGAAGUAACUGAAGAAUCACAAAAGAAGUGAAAAUGGCGCGUGCCUGCCUUAACUGAUGACAUUACCUUGUGAAAUUCCUUCUCCUGGCUCAUCCUGGCUCAAAAGCUCCCCCACUGAGCACCUUGUGACCCCCACUCCUGCCUAACAGAGAACAAUCCCCUUUGACUGUAAUUUCCCACUACCUACCCAAAUCCUAUAAAACGGCCCCACCCCUAUCUCCAUUCACUGACUCUUUUUGGACUCAGCCCACCUGCACCCAGGUGAAAUAAACAGCCUUGUUGCUCACACAGAACCUGUUUGGUGGUCUCUUCACACGGCGAGUGAAAUUUAGUAUUGUACCAAUGGUAAAUUGACAAAUGUACCACGUUUAUAUAAGAUUAACAGCAGAGGAGGCCGGGGGCGGUGGCUCAUGCCUGUAAUCCCAGCACUUUGGGAGGCCGAGAUGGGCG
rnacentral:lncRNA from 10 species